rnacentral:rRNA from 1 species
GAGUUUGAUCCUGGCUCAGGACGAACGCUGGCGGCGUGCCUAACACAUGCAAGUCGAACGAAGUAUAAUGAAAGCUUGCUUUCAUUAUACUUAGUGGCGGACGGGUGAGUAACGCGUGAGUAACCUGCCUUGUAGCGUGGAAUAACGUUUCGAAAGGAACGCUAAUACCACAUAACGUAGCGAAGCCGCAUGGCUAUGCUACCAAAGAUUUAUCACUACGAGAUGGACUCGCGUCUGAUUAGCUAGUUGGUGAGGUAAUGGCUCACCAAGGCGACGAUCAGUAGCCGAACUGAGAGGUUGAUCGGCCACAUUGGGACUGAGACAC